GGAGGAAGUUGGGCAAUCGCGAGAUGUUAAAUUUCGAGGAACGUCCGGACUCCAAAGGACGGGAUAGCGGCUAACAGCCGUCAGGUCAUGAAAAUGACUUAGGAAUAGGGCCACAGAGACGAGACUGAUAUAAGGGCUGGUAUAUACUGGCUCCCAUACGGCGACUCCGUAUGGCGAAUAACUACCUGGGCGUUAUAUUAGGGUGAAACGCGGUAACCUCUAUCUGGAGCAACAUCAAGUAGGCAUAGAGCCUUUGGCAAGAGUGGUCCGCUCUAUCUAUGCGGGUAGAUGGCUCUGAGCUUGUUAGUAAUAAUAAGCCUAGAUGAAUGAUUGCCAGCCUUAGGGCUUACAGAAUCCGGCGUAUAGACUUUCUCCACAC
rnacentral:RNase_P_RNA from 2 species